GACGUAGGGCGCGAGCGUUGUCCGGAUUUAUUGGGCGUAAAGAGCUCGUAGGCGGCUUGUCGCGUCGACUGUGAAAACUCAGGGCUUAACCCUGAGCUUGCAGUGGGUACGGGCAGACUAGAGUGCGGUAGGGGAGACUGGAAUUCCUGGUGUAGCGGUGAAAUGCGCAGAUAUCAGGAGGAACACCAGUGGGCGAAGGCGGUUGCCUGGGGCUUUGCUGACGCUGGAUG
rnacentral:rRNA from 1 species